AAGAGUAGGUGCGCGGUUGCGGAUAGGAUCUGAGGUGAUCCGAUCUGAGGAAAGUCCGGGCUUCCAAAGAAGACCACCUUGCUGGGUAAUGCCCAGUGCGAGUAAUCGUGAGGAUAGUGCCACAGAAAAAUACCGCCUAUGUCGAACCUACGGGUUUGGCAGGUAAGGGUGCAAAGGUGUGGUAAGAGCGCACCAGUGGGAUCGUGAGGUCUCAGCUCGGUAAACCCCAAGGGGAAGCAAGGCGAGAAGGUGACGCAGUAGGUCUUCUGAGGCUGCUAGCCUGUUCCUCUGGGGAUGAAAGUCUUUGGGGGGUGUGCCGCUUGAGGUUCUUGGUAACAAGGAUCCUAGAUAGAUAACCGCCCGAACAGAACCCGGCUUACGGCUUGCUCUCUCCU
rnacentral:RNase_P_RNA from 1 species